GCUGCUCGUUUCAGCAGCAUAGUAUUAAAACUGGAAGGAUACAGAGAUGAGCACAGUCCCUGCGCAAGGAUGACACACACAUUCGUGAAGAGCUUCCAUAUUUU